GACGAACGCUGGCGGCGUGCUUAACACAUGCAAGUCGAACGGAAAGGCCCUGCUUUUGUGGGGUGCUCUAGUGGCGAACGGGUGAGUAACACGUGAGUAACCUGCCCUUGACUUUGGGAUAACUUCAGGAAACUGGGGCUAAUACCGGAUAGGAGCUCCUGCUGCAUGGUGGGGGUUGGAAAGUUUCGGCGGUUGGGGAUGGACUCGCGGCUUAUCAGCUUGUUGGUGGGGUAGUGGCUUACCAAGGCUUUGACGGGUAGCCGGCCUGGGAGGGUGACCGGCCACAUUGGGACUGAGAUACGGCCCAGACUCGUACGGGAGGCAGCAGUGGAGAAGAUUGUACAAUGGGCGGAAGCCUGAUGUAGCAACGCCGCGUGCGGGAUGACGGCCUGCGGGUUGUAAACCGCUUUCGCCUGUGACGAAGCGUGAGUGACGGUAAUGGGUAAAGAAGCACCGGCUAACUACGUG
rnacentral:rRNA from 1 species